GUCAGCUCGUGUUGUGAAAUGUUGGGUUAAGUCCCGCAACGAGCGCAACCCUUAUCCUUUGUUGCCAGCGAUUAGGUCGGGAACUCAAAGGAGACUGCCAGUGAUAAACUGGAGGAAGGUGGGGAUGACGUCAAGUCAUCAUGGCCCUUACGACCAGGGCUACACACGUGCUACAAUGGCGCAUACAAAGAGAAGCGACCUCGCGAGAGCAAGCGGACCUCAUAAAGUGCGUCGUAGUCCGGAUUGGAGUCUGCAACUCGACUCCAUGAAGUCGGAAUCGCUAGUAAUCGUGGAUCAGAAUGCCACGGUGAAUACGUUCCCGGGCCUUGUACACACCGCCCGUCACACCAUGGGAGUGGGUUGCAAAAGAAGUAGGUAGCUUAACCUUCGGGAGGGCGCUUACCACUUUGUGAUUCAUGACUGGGGUGAAGUCGUAACAAGGUAACCGUAGGGGAACCUGCGGUUGGA
rnacentral:rRNA from 2 species